rnacentral:rRNA from 1 species
UACGAAGGGGGCUAGCGUUGUUCGGAAUUACUGGGCGUAAAGCGCAUGUAGGCGGCUUUCUAAGUCGGGGGUGAAAUCCCAGAGCUCAACUCUGGAACUGCCUUCGAUACUGGAAAGCUCGAGUGUGGAAGAGGUUGGUGGAACUGCAAGUGUAGAGGUGAAAUUCGUAGAUAUUUGCAAGAACACCAGUGGCGAAGGCGGCCAACUGGUCCGGCACUGACGCUGAGGUGCGAAAGCGUGGGGAGCAAACAGG